rnacentral:rRNA from 1 species
UACGGGGGGUGCGAGCGUUGUCCGGAAUCACUGGGCGUAAAGGGCGCGUAGGUGGCGCUGCAAGUCGGUGGUGAAAGCUCGUCGCUUAACGACGAGUCGGCCAUCGAAACUGCAGGGCUGAAGCACUGUAGGGGCUAAUGGAAUUCCGGGUGUAGCGGUGGAAUGCGUAGAGAUCCGGAAGAACACCAGUGGCGAAGGCGGUUAGCUGGGCAGUUGCUGACACUGAGGCGCGACAGCGUGGGGAGCAAACAGG